rnacentral:rRNA from 1 species
UGGGGAAUCUUGCGCAAUGGGCGAAAGCCUGACGCAGCAACGCCGCGUGCGGGAUGAAGGCCUUCGUGGUUGUAAACCGCUUUCAGCAGGGACGAAAAUGACGGUACCUGCAGAAGAAGCCCCGGCUAACUACGUGCCAGCAGCCGCGGUAAUACGUAGGGGGCGAGCGUUGUCCGGAAUCAUUGGGCGUAAAGAGCUCGUAGGCGGUUCAGUAAGUCAGGUGUGAAAGCUCCGAGCUCAACUCGGAGAGGCCACCUGAUACUGCUGUGACUAGAAUCCAGUAGGGGAGUGUGGAACUCCUGGUGUAGCGGUGAAAUGCGCAGAUAUCAGGAAGAACACCAGCGGCGAAGGCGGCACUCUGGGCUGGAAUUGACGCUGAGGAGCGAAAGUGUGGGUAGCAAACAGG